rnacentral:tmRNA from 1 species
GGGGAUGAAGUGGGUUCGACGGGGAACGGAAGUCCUGGAUGGCAAGCCGAGGUGCCCCAACCUCGUAAAACAGGGGUGAUUAACAAAAAAGUGCCGACUAUGCUGCUGUUCCUAUGGCCGCCUAAAAGAUAGCGGUCACGCUCGCCUCCGCCUUGCCCCGACGGGUGGGGGAGGGAGCGCCAGAGAGUUCGGGGUGCGGUAACCUGACGCCGAUAGGGUUAUCUAAGGGAGCAUCGGCUGGCCUGAGGUGCACCCUGUCGGCCGGGGGCGCUUCAGGCGAGAGGUAAAAGGCCGACUAAGCUUGUAAACCAUCCAGGGCGGAGUUCUCUGGACGCGGGUUCGACUCCCGCCAUCUCCACUU